CAUGGGGGAACCCUGAUGCAGCGACGCCGCGUGAGUGAUGAAGUAUUUCCCNUAUGUAAAGCUCUAUCAGCAGGGNAAGAUAAUGACGGUACCUGNACUAAGAAGCACCGGCUAAAUACGUGCCAGCAGCCGCGGUAAUACGUAUGGUGCAAGCGUUAUCCGGAUUUACUGGGUGUAAAGGGUGCGUAGGUGGCAAGGCAAGUCUGAAGUGAAAAUCCGGGGCUCAACCCCGGAACUGCUUUGGAAACUGUUUAGCUGGAGUACAGGAGAGGUAAGUGGAAUUCCUAGUGUAGCGGUGAAAUGCGUAGAUAUUAGGAGGAACACCAGUGGCGAAGGCGACUUACUGGACUGCUACUGACACUGAGGCACGAAAGCGUGGGGAGCAAACAGGAUUAGAUACCCUGGUAGUCCAAGGGCGAAUUC
rnacentral:rRNA from 1 species